CGGUGAACCUUGCCACCAUCCAAACACCACACUGUCAUCCUCGCUCUCUCACAGUCUCUCUCUCUUCUUCUCGACUUUUUCCUUGACACAGAGCACAGAAGCAAUGGCGACAAAGCUGCCGAUCUCCAGCAAGGUAACCACAUGCCUCACCUUGCUCUCCUCACUGCGGACUCCCUAUUAUCUUUUGCUUUCUGAAAACAGAAACUGAUGCAACGAAUUGACAAGCUCCAUGGCAGCUUGACUUCCUGGCGAGAUUUUUCGUUGAAUCCAGUAUGGUUUCAACCUAGGGGACAAAUUCCCCAAAUUUCCAAUGAGGGCUGUGAGUUUCAGGCUGAUUUUAAGCUAUCACCGGCCACCCAAUGGCCCUGAGAAGGUCGUUCUCUCGCUACGCGUGGUACUACUGUGGAUUGCGCAUAGAGCACAGGCACCUCCACCGGAAGGAUAAAUGCCUGAAAGGAUGAAUAUACAUUUGAAAUCAUUGCCUUGUUUUUUUUUCUUUAAAUUAUAAUGAUGAUUUCUUAGUUGAAUUUCGGCAUGUGAUUGAUCUGUCAAGAGGAGAAAUUAUGAGCAAUCUUUUCCUCUUCU